UUGUUUUAAAAUGUUUAUAAUUUAAUAUUAGAGAUGAUGAAGAAAAGAGGGAAAUAGUGCAGAGAUGAUGGAUGCGAUGAUUGAAAUUUCUUUUUUCUUGAUGAAAUAAUCAUUUUUUAAAAAGUUUCAAUAUGAAGUUGACAGCAUGUGUUUAAUUUCUUUUUCGUAUGCUAAACAUUUCUUAAGUUCAUGGGUUUUUUUUUUUUUUGGUUUUUUUAUCUCAGAUGAGGCACAAACAUGUUAACAAAUUUUGGGUUUUGAAGAAUAGUUUAUCAUGUUGUCUGGUAGAGUAUAUUUGCUACGCAAUGCAAGUUUGAAUCCACUCAGAUCUCAGCUGUGUAAAUAGUCCUGUGUCAUAACGAUUCACUUUCUAUUAAAACGACUGAGGGUAAAAAGCACAUUUAAUACCAGAUGAACACCAAAUAGGUUUUUGUGCCUGAGCGUUAAAAAAGCUUUAAUAAUGUUAAUAAUCUGAAAACUGUAGCUUCUCUUUCCAAAGACCGGCCGAGUGGAUGUAACUCUGCUGUCCAAACCAAAACUCAAACAGAUGUUUCACUGCAGGGAAACUAUUUUAUUUUUUAUCACAUGCGUGUCUCAGAGAGGUCAGGAGCACCUUUAGACCUCACACAGGCCUGGAGAAAUUGGAAAAAUGUUUAUUCCCCAACCAGUUGGUGAAGGCUGACGACAGAAUCAUCGCUAAAGUCACACAGGCCUACAAACCAGUGAGAAUCCACCUGGAAACCACAGGUUACCAGAGAAAAACCCCACACUGGUUGGUGGACAUUGCUACACCAAACACGUCCUUGGGAUUCCUCUGACCUCUAUCAGGUUACUGCUCUCAGCUGUAAAUUGUGCAGAAAACCAAAAGGUGUGAUGCAAACCAGAAACUAGUAAAAAAACCAUGAAAUUAGUGCUGACACGGCAUAUUUCCAAAGGUGAAAACUGUUAUUUUUGCAGGUGAAUGGUUCUAUUUCUUUCACUAUUGAUUGGCAACUGUUUUUACAGACACAUCUUCUGUGCAAACUGCAGGCAACAGAAGCAACCUGCUAGUGACCAAAGCAAUGAGGAGGAUUUGGUGCAGCACCCUGUUAGCAUCCAACUUCACCUAGCAACUGGCAGCCUCCAGCCUCUGCAAUAAAGAUAAUAAAUCCAGAUGUUUGGGCAGUCGAGCAUCUGGACAGAGGUGCCCCUCAAACUCUUACAGACUCGUUUGUGUUCUUAAAAGUAAAACAGUUUUGCACCUGAGAGAAAUAUCUCUUUACUCAGAACGCAGCUUGAUCCAACGAUGUAUAUAGAAAGAUGCAAACUGUGGAUCAGUUGGGACUAAAGUGAAACUUUGACCAAACUCACUUCUUGUUCAGAAUCCAGAAGCCGGACUUUAACACUAUAACCUGAGAAAAAUGUAGCUCCAACAGAUGUUUCUAAUUAAAUAGGUAAGUAUUCUAAUAAUAAUUUAGGCAAUAUAAAGAUUUACCUUCUGUGUUCUAAGUCCUACUUCUGACAUUUUCAGUGUUAAACUCUGAUGAUGACCUGAACAGAAAGUGAAACUUACUUGGGGCCUCUGAUGAUGAUGAUGAUGAUAAUCAUUUGCUCUGUAAUGUCAAACAGAAAGUCUCCAAUUUCAGCUCAAUCUUGUUUGCAUGAUUCCCUCAGCUCCCCUCCCUCCUCCCAUUCCCAUUUUUUAAAAAGAUUGACAAAAUGAGAUCAAAUAGCAAAAAGACGUUGUUCCAGAGGAAAAUAAAGCUGACAUCCACUUUUGAUUCUUACCCAUGAUGCUCUCUGUGAUCUUAUUGUCUUACAUUGUUUGCUGAAAUCACCUGCACUACAUUAACUUUCUGGGGAUGACAGAAAAAUGUAACCACUUUUAUGUCCGCGGCAAUUUGUUGAGCUUGAAAUUUGUCUUGUUUACAACAAAAAUUGACAGCGCUUUCAUCUCUGCACAGAAAAUAUUACUACUGUGAGCCGACUUGGCUUAAGGCUCUUUCCAGAAGUGAGUCUCUCCAAAUGUCCUGUUAUAGAGCAGAAAUAACUGGUCUGGUACAAAAAUG
ensembl:lncRNA